CGGGUACCUGUCUGGAAGAGAAGAAGAACUACGUUCCCCAAGAGCCUUUCGAGUACUGCUAUCAUUCCUGCUCAAGGGAACAGAUAUAAGGGCGCAGGUCAUCUGACUUGCCCCCCUUCUCGUCUCGCCGUGUUCCCUGUUGGAUCGGCUCGCUACUGCUGCGCCCGACUGCAUGCAAGGCUUCAGUAUUAGCGUAAGGCCUUUGGCUCUCGGACAAUCUUUCUCUCAAUUAUUGUUGAUUUAUAUUCUAUUAUAGUGUGUUAUCUUACAUUCUGAUACUAUAUUUAGUAAAUUAGUUUGUUUAUUAUUAUUAUUAACAAUCUCCUCAGAUUGUUGCCACUGUUUUUAAUUAUUUUGGGGUCCCCUGUUUCCCUUCCUGGAGGUGCGGAUUUUGCGAAAUCCCUCCGCCCCACUAGUCGCGGAACUGGGCCGGACCAGCCCUUAAACCAUUGACAGCUCUCCUCACUGGCUUAAUUUUUAUGACAAGCAAAGAGGAUCUACAAGUGGAAUAGAAGUAACUGAAACAAUUUUUUGGCCUUUUAACUGAGAAGUGAAAAGAGUAGUAUAAUGUAGAUUAUAUAUAUGGCAAUGAUUUGACAAGAGAUAUAGAACUAAAAUUCAAAGUUGUAUGUACAAAAAUAUAGUUUUUCUUUAGUUACAAUUCUGAUGCAGAUGAUAAUUAAGGUUUUGUCUUUAUAUGCAGCUGGUACACUUAAAACAUUAACUACCUUGUUGGUCCAGGAAUUUCACAGCUAGUCAACUACACAGAUGAAAUACUGUCUUAUUUUGGAAAAUGGAUCUGACUUGAAAACGGAAGAUUGAUCCAGUUCCUUGCCACUCUUCAGGCUUUGCUCCAAACAGCAGGUGCUACUUUGAAGAAUUUUGCUCUUCGCCCCUCUCCUGGUGCAGUGGAAUGCCUCUCACCACGAGCAGCAGAGCCCCUGCCUCUCUCCAGGACGAAGCCCUGUGCUCCUCAGUGCAGCUGUAGAAAUGGAUGAGGCCUUUGUCAUCUUAAACACAUUUCGAGGACUUUCACAGAUUUUCAAGGAAACAAAAUUCUAGUUAGACUAAUAGCUAUCCUGUUGGACUGCUGUAAUCUGAUCUACUACUACUGAAUUAACUUCCUAACCUCUGUUCUGCAGCCUACUUACCAUAAUACAGUGAAGUUUUAAUACCUUCGUCACAUUGCUGAAGACAGCGUUAUUGUUUUACAGCUAUG
ensembl:lncRNA